ACUUAACCCCCCCCUCCCCCCACCGAAAUUUCAGGAAAGUUAUUAAAUUUGUUUUUAUGGAGUAAAAGUGGGAUAAUUUAUAACCUACCCCUCAAAAAAAAAAAUAUAAUUGUUUUGUGUACGCGCCUUCUAAAGAUUAAAUACCAUUAUAAUUUCUCUUUAUAAAAACUACUGAAUGCAAGUACCUACUCAUGUUUUAGAGACUAGAUAAUAGGAUAUAGUUGAUUACAUGAAUAAAGUAUUAGGUAUGGACGUGCGUAUAGAGAUUUGUACGAGGACAGACUUGGUUAGAAAUUGCUUCUUAAACAAAUUUAUAUGCUGCAGAAGGCAGACAAUUAUAUCUCACAAUCAGUCCACUGUAAACGGCAGAGACCACACUCGAACAUAACACGAUAUCGUAUAUUAAUAUUAGUAUACCGAUUCAUACAUAAUACCUAUAUAAUAUUCAUUGUCCAAUUAUUUCAUUCCUAAAAAGUUGUUCUCAUAAUCUCAUACGAAUUAUCAGAUUCAAUAAAUUUCCAAAUGCAUAUCCUCACUUUAUUUAUUAAAAAAUAAACUGCACCACAUACAUUAAUAUUAUUAUGAGUAUUAUACUCGGGAGACAAUUACUUACCAACAGCUAUAUAGGUAUGAAUAUGGUGCCAUAAAAUUGAAUUUUAUUCACAUCAUCGUUAUAUUUACUGCUGCACAGGCAUUAUAAUAUAUAAAUGGUGGCGCCGAGCCGACCGACAAAUUUUAUUGUUUCUGUAUAUUAUGUAUAUAAAAUUACAGUAGAUAUCUGCAUUCGCCACGUAUAUAUAGAUUAUAAUAGUUACCUACUCGAACCGUUACACGUGCACUUAAACGUAUACAGAUAUAAUGUAUCCAUUUUUUAUAUGCAGUGUUAUUGGUAGCUGGUGCGAGGGCGACCGUUCGACUUUUUUUUUCAAUACUGAUACUACCUAUUAUAAUAUAGAUACUAUUUAAAACCCGACAGUGGAAUGAUUAUAAUAAUAUAGUGUUUUACAGGUAGGUAUGUCAAUUUUGGUCACGUAAUUUGGCGAUUUAGAGAUUUGUGCUAUGGUCACCGCUUCAACAGGAGAUUUCAUGUGCUACAAUACACGACGCAUUAUAGAUGCUGACUGUAUAAGAUAUUUUUUAUUACUAUGAGUGCAAAAAAGAAAGAUUUCAUGCUUUUGAAAAUUGGUCUCAUGCUCAGUGUAGAUACUUGAAUUGAAAGCCAUUGUAAUUGACGUGUAAGAAGAAAUCAUAGUUAAAGACCCAGUUAAAUAUCAUUCAAUAGGUAUUCAACUAUGCACGGCCAUAAUUUAAAUUUCGAAAUUAUAUUUUAACAAAGUAUAAUCUUUAUUUUUAUAUGACAUUUCGAAGUAAUAAAAAGAUUUUCAAGUCUAUUUAGUGACGAAUGACGAUGCACGAUCAGGGGCGUGCCUAGGGGGGUGUUCAACCCCCCCCGAAAAAUAAAAAUAAUUAUUAAUAAAAGUUGUACACAACAUAAUAUAUAUAUAUGGAACUUGAUUAGGCUAGGUUCACAUGGUGUCUUUGCAUCGCUAUCGUGAAACACGCUCAUUGUCAGCGAUAUAGGUAUAUAGGAAAUCCGUAUAGGUACCCAUAAAUACGCGCGAUUGACCGGAGCGCGUGUACGAUAACAUAUCGGCUAUUGUACUUUAUCUCCGAAUUUCCGAUAUGAUAUAUUGUGUUCCGUGUAGCCACGUAAAAAUUAAACACGAUUCAUUUCGACCAAGUUAACUAUACAGUGAACAACAUCAAAACUCAAAAGAUUUAUAAUACGAUAUUGCCACGUAAGUUUAAUAUUCUGUACUAAUAUUUGUUUAAUAAAUUAAUAAUAUUAUACAUUAAUUUAUUAUGAUUAUUAAUACAAAUUCCAUUAUAAUUUCUAGAAGAUGAAAAGGUCCGGCAAAAUAACAGAUUUGUUCCAAUUAAGAACAAAUAAAUUGCCAAAGACAACUGAUACUGACAACAUAGAAAAUAUCGGAAGCGUCGAAAAUGAAAAUGUAGUUUCUACGUCAAUAAUUUCGAUUCUCAAGACAUUGAUAACACAAGGCGGACGACGAACGUGAGACACGUCACUAUUAAACUCCGGACAAUCACUCAUCUGGAAUUCACUCGCAAGUUGAAACGUAAACGCAAGACGAUGACUAAAAAAAUCUUUAUUAUGUGACCUGUGUUGAUAUUUACAUAUCAUACAAGUAAAAUAGGUAACACAAAAAAAGCAUUUAAUAAAUAAAUAAAUUUAAAAAUAAAACUCUAUCAGCUGCACUUGAUGAGAAGUUUGUGUUUUUGAAAUUCGUAUGGAUGUAUUUAAGUAGUUAUGAAGUAUAAAAACUACGAUUAUUCGUGCAUUAUUCAAUUUGUAAUUAAUAAUAUAAAACUACUGAUUAUAAUUUUUAGUAAUAUAUUGGAUUAUGUUUAAAACA